rnacentral:rRNA from 1 species
AUUGAGCGCUGGCGGCAGGCCUAACACAUGCAAGUCGAACGGUAACAGGAAGAAGCUUGCUUCUUUGCUGACGAGUGGCGGACGGGUGAGUAAUGUCUGGGAAACUGCCUGAUGGAGGGGGAUAACUACUGGAAGCGGUAGCUAAUACCGCAUAACGUCGCAAGACCAAAGAGGGGGACCUUCGGGCCUCUUGCCAUCGGAUGUGCCCAGAUGGGAUUAGCUUGUUGGUGGGGUAACGGCUCACCAAGGCGACGAUCCCUAGCUGGUCUGAGAGGAUGACCAGCCACACUGGAACUGAGACACGGUCCAGACUCCUACGGGAGGCAGCAGUGGGGAAUAUUGCACAAUGGGCGCAAGCCUGAUGCAGCCAUGCCGCGUGUAUGAAGAAGGCCUUCGGGUUGUAAAGUACUUUCAGCGGGGAGGAAGGGAGUAAAGUUAAUACCUUUGCUCAUUGACGUUACCCGCAGAAGAAGCACCGGCUAACUCCGUG